GGGAACAUACUCAGCUGAAAAGGAGUAGAGGCUGGGAACUGCUCCAGGGGCCUGGAAAUUGAUGAAGAUGCAUACAAGAGCAUACCUGAAGGUGAAACUCUUUUAAUGCUACUCAGAGGUACGGAAACUGAGGCACAGAGACAAUAAGGUGCAAAGAAGGCAUAUCUCCACCCCAACUCAUUUAGAAUGGAUUAAAAAAUUCUUCACGAAGCAUGCUCGCGUUCUGGAAAAUUCAGAUUUUAAUUUUCUACCUCUCUUCUGCACCCAGUGGUUGAACAUACAACAUCCUCAACAAUGCAGAAGGCUAUCAAUUUCACUGCACCCUUGCUAGCACUGGGCAUUAUUGUUAUUACUGGUAAAGUUAUUAGAAGAAAUAAGUGAGAAUCCCAGUUUCUACUCAUUUAUUCUAAACCAAACACACAUAAGUCAACUAUCCUGGGCUCUUCAAAAAUGUCAGUGCCAUGAAAGAAAGAAAGAAAAAGGGCAUAAGAACUAUUGUAUACUAGAAUCUGCCUGUAACUCAGGAGUCUCAGGAGACAUGGGUUCGAUCCCUGAGUUCGGAAGAUCCCCUGGAGGAGGAAAUGGCUGCCGACUCCAGUAUUCUUGCUCAGAAAAUCCCAUGGACAGAGGAGCCUGGUGUGCUACAGUCCAUACGGUUGUAAAGAAUUGGAUAUGACUGAGCGCACAUGCGUGACACUUGAAAGAGACGUGACAUCCAAGUGUGGUGUGUGAUACGUGUUUGGAUGCUGGAUUGGAAAAAGAAAGAACAGCUGUAAAGAGAAUUACUGGGAAAUGUUAAAUACUAAACAUGUAUUCCAUAGUAUUUUAUAAAUAUUAAAUUUGGAAGCAUGAUAAUGAUAUCAUAUGAGAGAAUAAAAUUGUAAGAGAUGCAUAUUAAAGUAUUUAGAGAUACUAGUGUUUUUAUAUUGGUAAGUUAUGUUCCAAUAAUUCACAAACUAUAUAUGUGUGUGUGUGUGUGUGCACACAUAUAUAAAGAGAGAGAGGUAAGGAAAGAGCCAAUAUGGCAAAAUAUUAACAGUUAAUAAAUUUGUAUAGAAAUCAUAGGAAUUAAUUGGACUAUUAAUGUUUCUGUUUUAAUUUCUCUGAAACUUUAAAAAAUUAAAAGGUGGGUGAAAUGGUAGCAGGUAUUACAUAUUAAGGAUCAUAUAUCUAGUAGCAAGAGUGUUACAUAUCAAUUACCAAGUGCUGCUGCUGCUGCUAAGUCGCUUCAGUCGUGUCCGACUCUGUGCAACCCCAGAGACGGCAGCCCACCAGGCUCCCCCGUCCCUGGGAUUCUCCAGGCAAGAACACUGGAGUGGGUUGCCAUUUCCUUCUCCAAUGCAUGAAAGUGAAAAGUGAAAGUGAAGUCGCUCAGUCGUGUCCGACUCUUCGCGACCCCAUAGACGGCAGCCCACCAGGCUCCUCCGUCCAUGGGAUUGUCCAGGCAAGAGCACUGGAGUGGGGUGCCAUUGCCUUCUCCACCAAGCGUUAGUGGCAUGUAUUACAAAUCAAGUGCUGACUGUGCUAGGCUUGUGUUAAGUGUUUUACAUACAUCAUUAAUUUAUUUAAUCCUCAUCACAAUCCUCUAAGGCAGCUAACAUUUCUUUAUACUUGAGGUAUCUGAGGUUCAGAGAGGUGCAGAAACUUGUUCAAGGUCACUCAGUUAACAGGGAAGGAAGCAGAGGCACCGAGAGAGGAGUAACCUGCCCAGACCAUCACCUAAAUAAUGGUCAUGACAGGGUUAGGACUGAGGUGUCUGAUUCUUAACUGGGAUUUGGUCAAUUGUAUUAAAAAGGUUAUUCCUCCUUGUUUUCUUGCCCAGUGGGACUCCAUCUAGAGAAACGUUUCCGCCAGCUCUACUAGACUUAUUUCAAAAAGAAAAUAUUCCGUUUUUUCAUUCCACUUUGAAAAGAUAAGGCAUCCAGCUUCCUGUCCUGUGGCUGUUGCUCAGACUUCUGUACUAGUUCUCAGCAAUGUGUGUUCUCCGUGACUAUUGGGUCACAACUUUUAUCAGAUUCCAGAGAUGGGAAAACUCAAGCGGCCAACAGAAGCUCCGGACUGAGAGCAAGCAGUCUCUUUCAUUACUAGAGGGACAGUGAUUCUUUGUCUGCUUCUGACUAUUCACUUUAAACACAAGCACAGAGUUAGCCUGAUAUAGGGUUCUGCAAGCUGAGGGUCAUGACCCUUUAGUGGGUCUUGAGAUCAACUUAGAUGGUGGCUGGCAGCGUUUAGAAAAUGAUUUUGAAGAUAACAACAAGGACCUACUAUAUAGCACAGAGAACUACAUUCAGUUUCUUGUAAUAGCCUAUAAUGGAAAAGAAUCUGAAAAAGGUAUAUAUAUAUAACUGAAUCAUUUUUCUGUACAUCUGAAACACUGUAAAUCAACUAUUUAAAUAAAAAAUGAUUUUAAAAUCACAUUGACUAGAAUAUAAAAUAUUGGUGUAUGUUCAUUAUGAAGGUAGAUUUUUUUGUGUGUGUGUGAAAGUACUCACAUACAGACACACACACACAAGUUUUGGAUGAUGGUAUA
ensembl:lncRNA